rnacentral:rRNA from 1 species
AACGAACGCUGGCGGCAUGCUCAACACAUGCAAGUCGAACGAUUGCCUUCGGGUGUUAGUGGCUCACGGGUGCGUAACCGGUUGGAAUCCGCCCUUAGGACCGGCACAACACCUUGAAAUGGCUGCUAGUACCGGAUGCUAACGCGAGAUCAAAGAUGUGUCGCCUGAGGAUGAGCCCGCGAUGCAUUAGGUAGUGGGAGGGGUACACGCCUACCAAGCCGAGGAUCCAUGGCUGGUCUGAGAGGAGGCUCAGCCGCACUGGGACUGAGACACGGCCCAGACGCGUACGAGAGGUAGCGGUGAGUAAAAUUGGGCAAGAGGCGCAAUCCAGAACCAGCGAUGCCGCGUGAGUGACGAAGGGCCUAGAAAUGUAAAGCUCUUUUACCCGAGAAGAUAAUGACUGAACCGGGAGAAUAAGCCCCGGCAAACUCCUG